UACGGAGGGUGCAAGCGUUAUCCGGAUUUACUGGGUUUAAAGGGUGUGUAGGCGGACUUUUAAGUCCGUGGUGAAAUCUCCGGGCUCAACCCGGAAACUGCCAUGGAUACUAUUGGUCUUGAAUAUUGUUGAGGUGGGCGGAACGGGUCAUGUAGCGGUGAAAUGCUUAGAUAUGACAUAGAACACCAAUUGCGAAGGCAGCUCGUUACACGAAUAUUGACUCUGAGGCACGAAAGCGUGGGGAUCAAACAGG
rnacentral:rRNA from 1 species